UGGCGAACGGGGUGAGUAACACGUGGGCAACCUGCCCAAAAGAGGGGGAGUAACACUUGGAAACAGGUGCUAAUACCGCAUAACCAUAGUUACCGCAUGGUAACUAUGUAAAAGGUGGCUAUACUACCGCUUUUGGAUGGGCCCGCGGCGCAUUAGCUAGUUGGUAGGGUAAAGGCUUACCAAGGCAAUGAUGCGUAGCCGAAUUGAGAGGUUGAUCGGCCACAUUGGGACUGAGACACGGCCCAAACUCCUACGGGAGGCAGCAG
rnacentral:rRNA from 1 species